UACGAGGGGGGCGAGCGUUUGUUCGGAAUUAUUGGGCGUAAAGGGUGCGUAGGCGGUUUGGUAAGUCUUGUGUGAAAUCUACAGGCUCAACUUGUAGUCUGCACGAGAAACUGCCGGGCUUGAGUGUGGGAGAGGUGAGUGGAAUUCCUGGUGUAGCGGUGAAAUGCGUAGAUAUCAGGAGGAACACCUGUGGCGAAAGCGGCUCACUGGACCAUAACUGACGCUGAUGCACGAAAGCUAGGGGAGCAAACAGG
rnacentral:rRNA from 1 species